GCCCCUCUGGCGGAAUGGUAGACGCGGCAGACUCAAAAUCUGUUGUCGAGAGGCGUGCCGGUUCGAGUCCGGCGGGGGGCA
rnacentral:tRNA from 1 species